GGACUACUCGGGUAUCUAAUCCCGUUUGCUCCCCUGGCUUUCGCGCCUCAGCGUCAGAAAGGGUCCAGCACGUCGCUUUCGCCACCGGCGUUCCUUCCGAUAUCUACGCAUUUCACCGCUCCACCGGAAGUUCCACAUGCCCCUACCCCCCUCAAGACGGCCAGUAUCAGAAGCUGUUUUCCCGUUGAGCGGAAAGAUUUCACCCCUGACUUGGCCACCCGCCUACGCGCCCUUUAAGCCCAGUGAUUCCGAACAACGUUUGCACGGUUCGUCUUACCGCGGCUGCUGGCAC
rnacentral:rRNA from 1 species